AGUUCUGUGUCAGCUUAAAACUGCUUUAAGGAACAGGCUGCAGGUUACUUGUCAUCAUGAUAAGAAUCGUAGUUCAGUUUGGAUGUGAGCAUCAGCAACAUGUGAAUGCAACAGUAAACCACAGAAAGGACAGUGUCAUCGGUGAAGAGGAUGAACCGUUGUCCGAGAUACAGAACAAACCUGAACAUAUUUGGACAUGAUCAACAAAGUCCACAACCGUCAGGGUUUAUGUGAGCCUCCCCAGAAACAUUGUGCAUAAAAGGGUGGUUCCUCUUUUAGUGUGAAGCUGCAGUAUAUAAGAUCAAAACGCUAUGGUUCAGUCAUCAUAAGACUUUGGCAAGUUGAACCGUUAGUAACUGAAUCAAGGAGACAUUUACAGCUGAGAUCCAGAGUCAGUUUUUGUGCCGUGCAGUAUUUGAAUAUGAAGAAGACUCUCUGGGUUUGUCUGCUCACCCUGGCUGUUGUGAUGUCCUUCUUUUCAUCACACGGUUUUGGCAUAUUUUAUCCCUGCUGCAUGAAAGCCAAUGCUCCAAGGAAGAAAUCUAUUGGGCCAAUCAAGACAUGUGUUGAACAGAAAUCACGAAAGGGUUGCAAGUACGAUGCCUUCAUGAUUGAGACCAACAAUGGUUUCAAGUGUCUCAAACCAGAUACCCCGUGGCUCAAAAAGGAAAUAAAUGAGGGAAGAUUGAGGUGUCCUUCAGAAUUCUCACACAAACUCAGAUUUGAAGUCCUGGAUGAAGAUGAUUUGGAAUAAAAACAGCAGUCUAGAACAAUUUCUGAUGAUUUACUACUUAUUGCUUUUACUGAAAUAUCAAGAUGUUUCAAGCAGAGUUGUUCUUUUUUGGGAGAAAUAAAGCCAAAGAUAAAUUGUAUUAAAUUGAUUUGAAAACUGUUGUUUUUCUACAUGUAUAAUGUUCGCUUUUAGUAUAUUAGAGGCUUGUAAUACAGUCAGAGCAGUGGUGAUUCAUUGCUGUAUAUGUAACUCAGAGUCUGUGCAGUUAAAAUGGAAAUGCUCGAUCUAUAAAUAAAUGUGUGAUCAGUCAAUCAGGGUCAUUCUUAGCUGUAGAUCUCAGUCAUCAUUGUGUCAAUGGACAUCCCCUCUGAUGUAGCCAAGUACAGUAUCACUGUAAAGACAAUUACUGUGCAAUUUGUCCAAUCUGUAUAAAAUAAAAUUUCACCAAAGCAGUUUAUAACUUAAAAUGAGCUUACUGCAUGAUCUCUAUCAUGGCAGUAAUCUUUGUUUCCAGGGUUAAAACAUGGAAAGGAGUGUGGUGUAUCAAACCAGACUCCAAGUGGCUGAAACAGCAGAUGAAGGUGGGUUAAAACAUGGAAGGGAUGGACGUGUAUCUAUCCAAACUCCAAGUGGCUGAAACAGCAGAUGAAGGUGGGUUAAAACAUGGAAGGGAUGGACGUGUAUCUAUCCAAACUCCAAGUGGCAGCAGAUGAGGUGGGAAAAUUUGGUUGUCCACCUUUGUGGACUUCAAAGCUCAGCUUUCAAGACAUGGAGGAAGAUGUUGCAGCAUAACCAACACAUCAAGGCAACAGAGCAACUCUGAACUCCUGAUUUACUAUUCAUUUCAUUCAUUAAAGUAUCUGUUUAAAAUGUAUGCCAUUUUAUAUCUACUUUAAAACCAAUCGUUAUGAUCUUAUGUUGUAAAAUGAACUAAAACAGUAAUAGCAGAGUUGUUCUUUUUUGGAGUUGAACCUGGAACCAAAAAUAAAUCAUAUUAAAUGGA